AGUGAACGCUGGCGGUAGGCCUAACACAUGCAAGUCGAACGGCAGCACAGUAAGAGCUUGCUCUUACGGGUGGCGAGUGGCGGACGGGUGAGGAAUACAUCGGAAUCUACUUUUUCGUGGGGGAUAACGUAGGGAAACUUACGCUAAUACCGCAUACGACCUACGGGUGAAAGCAGGGGAUCUUCGGACCUUGCGCGAUUGAAUGAGCCGAUGUCGGAUUAGCUAGUUGGCGGGGUAAAGGCCCACCAAGGCGACGAUCCGUAGCUGGUCUGAGAGGAUGAUCAGCCACACUGGAACUGAGACACGGUCCAGUCUCCUACGGGAGGCAGCGGUGGGGAAUAUUGGACAAUGGGCGCAAGCCUGAUCCAGCCAUACCGCGUGGGUGAAGAAGGCCUUCGGGUUGUAAAGCCCUUUUGUCGGGAAAGAAAAGCAGCAGGUUAAUACCCCGCUGUUCUGACGGUACCCAAAGAAUAAGCACCGGCUAACUUCGUG
rnacentral:rRNA from 1 species